CCUUUCUUUCUGCAUCUCCCUCCUGAUCUGGACACUGGGCCUGGGUCACGUCUCCUGAACUCGGCAGUCUGUCAGACCCCUAUGUCCUGCCAUCUGCCCCUCCUCAUCUCUCUGUGGGGGUCCCCUUGCCCAGCGUGUCUCAGUCACUCCCCUUGUGUCCCCUCUGCAGACCCCAAGGCUCCCUUGGCACCCCUGCUCCAGUCUCUGAAGAUUCAACCUAACCUCUGUCUGCAACUGGCAACAGCAUGGGGAGGAUCUCCCUCCAGCUGUCAGCUCCCGCCAGCCGUCAGCUCCCGCCAGCCAUCAGCUCCCUACCUCUGCAUGUGCUCAACUUCAUCGAUGGUCUCGGGCAAAGCCUUCCCUCUGGUCUCUGGCAGCAGCAGCACCAGCCCUCCAGCAAUCAAGCCAACCACGGCUGGAAGCAAACACAUGCAGACCCGUUAGGCCUGAAGCACAGCUCCCUCACCGGGCCGCCCCUGCUUUCUUUUCAAGCACAGUUUUUGGCUCCUCCAUCCCUGCGUCUGGCGAUUCCAGAUCACACUGCACCGACUAUUGAUGGGGAGAAAGAGGCUCGAAUGUGAAGCUACUGGCUUGGCUCCCCACAGGCUAUUCAGAGUCAAGGUUGGUGAGAGGCGAAGAGGAGGUGACUAAGAGGAAUAUAAUCAGGAAUUGUUUUGAGCUUAUUUC